rnacentral:misc_RNA from 1 species
AAGUCGUAACAAGGUUUCCGUAGGUGAACCUGCGGAAGGAUCAUUAAACGUUUCCACGUAUAUACCAAACCGCGAACUGUUUUAAACCCACUAUAAGUAAGAUUGUAAAGGCGAUGAGCCCCGCGGGUGCAGUUGAAGUCUUCGGACUUCCGCGAAUCGCUUGUCCGUAAGGGAGUCUUACUUAUGGUAACUGUACCUCAGUUUAUUAACCAUUAUGAACCAACUUUGUAACUACUAAAUAGUUGAAGUGUAAAAACUUUAACGAUUUAUUAAAUCUAAGCACAAUUCUUAGCAACGGAUAUCUAGGCUCUC